UACGUAGGGUGCAAGCGUUGUCCGGAAUUAUUGGGCGUAAAGAGCUUGUAGGCGGUUUGUCGCGUCGGCUGUGAAAACUCGGGGCUCAACCCCGAGCCUGCAGUCGAUACGGGCAGACUAGAGUGCUGUAGGGGAGACUGGAAUUCCUGGUGUAGCGGUGAAAUGCGCAGAUAUCAGGAGGAACACCGGUGGCGAAGGCGGGUCUCUGGGCAGUAACUGACGCUGAGGAGCGAAAGCAUGGGGAGCGAACAGG
rnacentral:rRNA from 1 species